GUAGUGCGGGUACUCAUCUAGUA
rnacentral:siRNA from 1 species